UAAUCGUUUUCUGUUUGUAGAGCUUUGUUUUUGAAAGCAGUCAGGCUCUGGAGCCGAGCAGCAGCCGGCUGUGGAUCGGUCUGACGGACGCAGAGGAGGAGGGAGAAUGGAGCUGGGUGGACGGCAGCCCGGCAGCUUCAGGUCAACAGUACUGGCUGAGCAGACCAGGACUGGGGACGGAGCCUGAUGACUGGAAGCUGGACGACCCUCUGGGAGAGGACUGUGGGCACAUUGACACCAGCGAAACCGCUCUCAAGUGCUGGAUGGACGGUUCCUGUAAGACACCUUAUAGAUGGAUCUGUGAGAAGGAUGUUUAAAUCAACCCACAACAUUUUUAUUUCUAAUUUCAUGUUGUAAAUAUACUGUAGCAGUAAUUUGAAGUUUUGGUGAUUGUGUAUAUGUUUUCUUUCAAAAUAAAAGAAUAGUCUUCAGAGUCCAGUUUGUCUUUGCUCUAAUGCAGGAAAUAAAGACAAUAUCUGACAA